AAUAUAACUGUCAUUUUCAUAUCUCCUUUUAACUAAACUAAAUAUUUAGAAAUCCUAUAAUUUGUACACUUCUAUUUGUGAAUAAGAUCGAUGAAAUUAAAGCGUAACUAUGCUUUCAAUAAUGGCUUCGAUGUAUUGCUCACCAUUAUGGCGGAUUAACGUCUCUAAGUGAUCGACCUUAAUCACUAAAUGGCAGCCGCGAUUCAGUGGUAGAGCCUUACACAUGACGGACGUUGCAAGCGCUUCUAAGACGUCUAUUGUGAAACGUUUCCAAUAGCAUCGGUUACGACGACGGUGAAAUCCGAAUAGAAAUAUAUAUCGCGUAUCGCUUCAGCCUGACAUGUCUUAAAAUAGAAUCACAAUUUUUCGUUCUUUAAAAAAACAAAAAAAGUCUAUAAAAAUUAUAUGCAAAUAAAAUAGAUAAAUGGAUAAAUGGUUGUACAAAUGUAUAAAACAGAUAUUACAAAUAUACGUAAAUAAAUUAUAUAUUUAUAAAUUGUUUGUUUAAAUAUCUGUUUGUUUAAAUAAAUAAAAGGGAUAUUUACGACUUACAAUGAACGUAGUCCUAUUUUUAGUUUUAAACAAAGCAAAAACGGAUAACAACUUUUUAAAAUGUAAAACUCAACGCAACAGUGGUUUUUUUUAAUUAAUCAAUAACGUUCAAAGUUAAUUAAUUUAGAGUGGUUUGUACAUUUUGUAUGCUCGCCGUAUUUUAACGUUUGAUGUGUAACGUUUGAUGUAGUACUUGAUGCCCGAAAAAUCGAAAAAUAAUUAAAUUUGAUCGUUUCGUCGAAUUUACAAGUGUGUAUAUUCGUGUGAAAUCCUAUGUGCUUGUGUAUGCUGAUGUGAAAGGCGGUAAUAUAUUUUUCUUUUUUCGAUUAUUGUUGUCAACUUUUGUGUGGAAUAAAUCAAUUCCGUGAAUAGAAGUGCAAUCAAUACAGCUUACUAUGAAAUGAUAGCACAACAACAGUACAUAUCGCCAUUGACGUCAGCUUCACAAAAUUUCUCGAAUAUCGAGGUUGUCCAUUUGGGUUAAGAAUUUAUUUCCACAAAUAUUGCCACAAGCACGAAUAUCUUAUGGAAAUCCACUGUAUUUCCACUGUAAUUUUUAAUAAUCAGAUUCCAUAUUGUAUGCUACGAUUCGAGGAAAAUCCGCAGCUAAUUAUUAUCUUUGCUGCCUUUAAAUACCAUAAAUAGUCGUCCGUAAAUUUUAAAUGAUUUUCUGUGCCAUACUUAUAUUGUGUAUUUUAGUCUUAAGGUGCGGGUCGUGUUCAAUUAAUUGAAAGUGAUGAAACUGUAAUGGGUCACGAUAGUCAAAUAUUAAAAAUGGUCUCGUUGGCUACAUUUAAAAUCUUUACGAGAUAUAUAUGCAUAGUACGUUGCUACUAGCAACGGGUAGCGAUGAGCAAUAGAGAACAGUAGCUUCCUUAUCUCGUCGUGAUUAUGUACAUACCAGUAAUGCACAGUACUCGUACUGAAUAUCUUACAACAUCUACAUAGAUUUUCAGAUUUGUUUCGAAUAUUACCAGCAUAACCAUGAUAGUAGAAUUCUGUUACAGUAUUAAUUCUAUAGUGCCGUUAUGCAUAAUACAGCCCUAAAAUGUUUCUACAAAUAUACGAAUAUUUUCGUCAGCUACUAUAUUCCAACCAUGGCUUAUUAUGAAAGGAAAUAUAUAACGAAAUUACUUGUUUUUUUUUUUAGACUAAAUUAGUUUAAUUUGAAUAAUUUUAGUAAUUGUGUAGGAUCGAACAACAACUUAUCAUUAGCUUCACUCGAGACUUGAUUGCACGUAGCAACGUAAUUGCGUUGGAACUGAGGGUAGAAAACAAUGUCAACCGUUAGACGCGUCUGUCUGGCGAAUGUGUAACGCGUGAAUAAUAGAUGGCGGCAAUCACGUGAACCCUACUUAUAGCUGUUUCGGCUUAUAUCGUAGCAUUCAACCUAGGGUAUAACGAUAAGGAUCAUUAAAAGUUCAAAGAAGUUCGGCUGAUCAGCCUCAUUUUGUUCCAUUUUUUAAUCAAGCGAUGAAUCGACAAAUUGUACAGAUUUCGAUGGUUAUCACAGUUCUCUGGGAAUUUUAAAGCGCGGUUCGUCGAAUUUAGUCGGAUUGGCUACAGACUCUUUUACGAGCAGCUUGAAACUCGAUCUAGUUUCGAGAAAAUGAAAAAUUCGUUUUAUCUCUUUGUUUCCCUGUUCCUUCCUUCCUCUUUUCUUUGCUUUUUACAUUGCGUUAAGACCGGCUAAAUAAUAUUGAUUGCCAUGGACGUUGGCUGGUUUAAAAUCACUGACAUCGACGAUAACAAAAAUAUUUCUGGUCUACGCACUCCAGUGCCCGCACAACUUAUAUUAAAACACCUGAUUUUCCCAUUCUACAGCAACAAAUUUCCUGAUCCUUUACAACCAUGAAGGACUUGUAUGCGAAAAUACUUGCCACGAUCAUCUGUUUGCAGACUAUUUUCGUCACUAUCUUCCCGUUAGGGGCUGCGUCUUUAAGAGGAAACUGUACUGAUCUCGAAGGAAAAGUUGUCUCGCAUGGAAUGAUGUAUGUGCCGGGACCUUCGAUUUGCAGUCAAUGCUUCUGUUACCAUUCGGAGCCAAAAUGGUGCCAGGCUAUCUUCUGUUCACCUCCUUUGAGCUGCAAGAAAUUCCGCAUUGGACGCCGAUGUUGCGAGUUCCAGUGCGUGGAUGAGGUUGACACAGGCUAUUGGUUUGGAUCUGAUGUGGUUAUUGUGAAUCGUUCAUCUAAACUUGAAAAACAUAGUGUAUUAUGGAUGCUGAGUUUAGUGAUAGUAAUUGUAGUAUUUUAAUUUCUCAAUAAAGAUUCCGAUGGCGCUGUGGACAAAAUUCGUAGCUUAUAAACAUCAACGAUUAGUUUCAGCCAUCGGGAAAAGAAGUAGUGUAUGUAUGUAGUGUGUUAACGAAGUAGUAAAACGUAGUGUAAAGAAAGUAGUGUAAAAGUAAAGUAGUGUAAAAGAAUCCUUUGUUCCGUGGUAUAUAUAGGCAAAAACGAAUGGUAGACCGCAGCAUAAUAGUUUCCAACCAUCCACAAUUGUUCUAAUUCCUCACUCGACGUCUUUCAUGUUCAUUCAUGUAGGAAAAAGUAUGUUAUCGUUUAAUAAUAAGCUUUUGAGCGUUUAAUAACAUCUCGUCGAGUAGAAAUUCCACACGAAGCAGUGAGAAAAAUAAUAUUUGAAGAAGAUCUAUGUUCUCAGCUUCGUCGUGUGCCAGAACUUUGUAGGAUAGAUUGUAUCAUGCGAUGAAAAUUUUAUACUUGUAAGUUAAGAAAAUUGGAACGAAAAUUCACGUUGUCUGCAAGAUAUCUUGUUUUUGGAUAGAAAUAGUUACUUUACUAACAACAUUCUCAAUAUUAAAGAUAUCAACAUCUUAGAUUUAAUGAAAGCCGCUGGAAUACGCCAGAUAUUUCAUAUCUGACUUAAACAUGUACAGUGACGAGCGAAAAAAGUAAACACAUAAAUGUAAAAGACUAAUUUUUCAAGUGAUCGGUAAAGAUUAGGUAACAGUACUACAAUAACUACAAGUUAUUAUUAACGAAAUGUAAUAGUUAAUUUUCAUUAACAUUAAUAAUGUACAAAACAUUUUACAAAAAUGGACAUCUCAAACCAUGAUUACAGUUUUGCACAUUAAUUAUACUCGUCGAAUCAAGGUUUCAACAUAGUAUUUCGUCCACUAGUACUACUUCACGUUUAUUAUAUCCAAUAGAAUUAACUACUAUUUAGGUAAAUUAUUUUGUGGAAUGCUCUUCAAAUAACAAUGCUCUUUUCUCAUUAUACCUUCGACAUUCGCUUUUUACGUAAAAUUAACGGGCUGUGUUUACACUUUUGCUUGUCACUGCAUAUCAAGGAAGAUUGAAAUAUAAAG